rnacentral:rRNA from 1 species
UACAGAGGGUGCGAGCGUUACUCGGAAUUACUGGGCGUAAAGCGUGCGUAGACGGUCAAGUAAGUCGGGUUUGAAAGCCCCGGGCUCAGCCUGGGAAUUGCAUUCGAGACUGCGUGGCUAGGGUGCGGAAGAGGGAAGCGGAAUUUCCGGUGUAGCGGUGAAAUGCGUAGAUAUCGGAAGGAACACCAGUGGCGAAAGCGGCUUCCUGGUCCAGCACCGACGUUCAGGCACGAAAGCGUGGGGAGCAAACAGG